UGAGAAGUGAGUUCUAGUCUUUUCCAUGGUUGACCAUCUGCUUGAUAUGCAGGAAAUCCCAGGUUCAAUUCCUGGCUUCUCCA
rnacentral:tRNA from 1 species